rnacentral:lncRNA from 1 species
GAAUCGUGAAGCCCUGCUGUGAACCAAAAUGAGACAAAGAGGGGGAACGCAGAGAGGACUCCAGGUGGCAGGAGUGUGUGUGCACACACAUGUGCAGUCCUCCACAGAGGCUGAGGAGAGGCCAGUGGAUAGAUCUCCGAGAUGUGGAGUGAAAGGAAAAAUGACUCGGAAAGAGAAGGCCCUGGAAGUCCGAUCGUCAUCACACAGGCUUCCGCUGCCAGCCGAUGGGGCAGAUGCAGAGACCUACAACCAAACCUUAGGCGGAUAGAGGCCCCAAACUGAAGAUCUCCCUCAGGCUCCUCCUCUUGGGGCUCAGGGAACCCCCGCAGAAGAGGGGAAGGAAGGAUUGCAGGAGCCAGAGGGUUGAGGAUACCAGGAGAACAAGGCCCACAGAAUCAACUAAGCAGGGCUCGUAGCAGCUCACAGAGACUGAAGCAGCGAUCAUGGAGCCUGCAUGGGUCUGUGCUAGGUCCUCAGCAUAUAUGACAAUGGUUUUUAGCUAGGUGUUUUUGUGGGAUUCCUAGCAGUGGAUGUAGGAUUAUCUCAAUUCUUUCAUCAGCUCCUGGGACUCUUUUCCUUCUAUGCCUUGCUUCCCCCAGCCCUGAUAGGAGGCUUUGUGCCUAGUCUUACGGUACCUUGUUACAUAGUGUUCAGCCCAUAUCCCUGGGAGACUGCUGUUUUCUGGAGGGAAAUGAAGGAAGAGUGAAUCUGGGGAAGAGGGAAGGUUGGGGGAGGCUGGGAGGAGUCGAAGGAUAGUAAAUUGGGAACUGCGGUUGGAAAACAAAAAAUAAAUUAAAAAGAG